AAAAAAGAGGCUGGGUGUAUUCU
rnacentral:piRNA from 1 species